GUGCAGUUGUGGCUGCUAUUUUGGUCAUUAUUCUUGUCGUAUUGGUCAUUCUGUUUGUGAGAAGACGGCGUAAUGGAAGGAAACGUUCUGGGUCCGUUAAAAAAUCAAAUGUAGAAAAGCUAUUACCGCCAAGGAUCGUCAACCAAUUCCCAUAGCAA